rnacentral:rRNA from 1 species
UACGUAGGGGGCAAGCGUUGUCCGGAUUCAUUGGGCGUAAAGAGCGUGUAGGCGGUUAGGUAGGUCAGUUGUGAAAACUGGAGGCUCAACCUUCAGACGUCGACUGAAACCCCCUGGCUAGAGUCCGGGAGAGGAGAGUGGAAUUCCUGGUGUAGCGGUGGAAUGCGCAGAUAUCAGGAAGAACACCCGUGGCGAAAGCGGCUCUCUGGAAUGGUACUGACGCUGAGACGCGAAAGCGUGGGGAGCGAACAGG